CGAAUGCUGACAUAAGUAACGAUAAAGCGGGUGAAAAGCCCGCUCGCCGGAAGACCAAGGGUUCCUGUCCAACGUUAAUCGGGGCAGGGUGAGUCGACCCCUAAGGCGAGGCCGAAAGGCGUAGUCGAUGGGAAACAGGUUAAUAUUCCUGUACUUGGUGUUACUGCGAAGGGGGGACGGAGAAGGCUAUGUUGGCCGGGCGACGGUUGUCCCGGUUUAAGCGUGUAGGCUGGUUUUCCAGGCAAAUCCGGAAAAUCAAGGCUGAGGCGUGAUGACGAGGCACUACGGUGCUGAAGCAACAAAUGCCCUGCUUCCAGGAAAAGCCUCUAAGCAUCAGGUAACAUCAAAUCGUACCCCAAACCGACACAGGUGGUCAGGUAGAGAAUACCAAGGCGCUUGAGAGAACUCGGGUGAAGGAACUAGGCAAAAUGGUGCCGUAACUUCGGGAGAAGGCACGCUGAUAUGUAGGUGAAGCGACUUGCUCGUGGAGCUGAAAUCAGUCGAAGAUACCAGCUGGCUGCAACUGUUUAUUAAAAACACAGCACUGUGCAAACACGAAAGUGGACGUAUACGGUGUGACGCCUGCCCGGUGCCGGAAGGUUAAUUGAUGGGGUUAGCGGUAACGCGAAGCUCUUGAUCGAAGCCCCGGUAAACGGCGGCCGUAACUAUAACGGUCCUAAGGUAGCGAAAUUCCUUGUCGGGUAAGUUCCGACCUGCACGAAUGGCGUAAUGAUGGCCAGGCUGUCUCCACCCGAGACUCAGUGAAAUUGAACUCGCUGUGAAGAUGCAGUGUACCCGCGGCAAGACGGAAAGACCCCGUGAACCUUUACUAUAGCUUGACACUGAACAUUGAGCCUUGAUGUGUAGGAUAGGUGGGAGGCUUUGAAGUGUGGACGCCAGUCUGCAUGGAGCCGACCUUGAAAUACCACCCUUUAAUGUUUGAUGUUCUAACGUUGACCCGUAAUCCGGGUUGCGGACAGUGUCUGGUGGGUAGUUUGACUGGGGCGGUCUCCUCCUAAAGAGUAACGGAGGAGCACGAAGGUUGGCUAAUCCUGGUCGGACAUCAGGAGGUUAGUGCAAUGGCAUAAGCCAGCUUGACUGCGAGCGUGACGGCGCGAGCAGGUGCGAAAGCAGGUCAUAGUGAUCCGGUGGUUCUGAAUGGAAGGGCCAUCGCUCAACGGAUAAAAGGUACUCCGGGGAUAACAGGCUGAUACCGCCCAAGAGUUCAUAUCGACGGCGGUGUUUGGCACCUCGAUGUCGGCUCAUCACAUCCUGGGGCUGAAGUAGGUCCCAAGGGUAUGGCUGUUCGCCAUUUAAAGUGGUACGCGAGCUGGGUUUAGAACGUCGUGAGACAGUUCGGUCCCUAUCUGCCGUGGGCGCUGGAGAACUGAGGGGGGCUGCUCCUAGUACGAGAGGACCGGAGUGGACGCAUCACUGGUGUUCGGGUUGUCAUGCCAAUGGCACUGCCCGGUAGCUAAAUGCGGAAGAGAUAAGUGCUGAAAGCA
rnacentral:rRNA from 1 species